GUUUCCCCAUUCUUUAUCUUCUCUCAUACAACCUUCAUUCGUAUCUAUGGUUUCUGCUUCUUCCAUCAUACAUCUCCCUCUCAUCAUCCCUAAAUCUCAUCCGUGAACGAUCAUCAAUACCAGGUUCACCAAGUCUGUUGUGUGACAUUUUGAUUAACAUGGCAAAAUCAGCUGCAUUUGGCCAUUGACAAUCUUGUGGCCAACGAUGCAUAUAGAGUUCUCAAAGCUUUCAGAAUGCUAGGGUUGGAUCCCAUUGGCUAUGGACAUGAACAAGUUGGGGACAAGAAGCCCUUGAUCAAGCUUCAAAGAUAUUUUUGGGACCCAUGCUAUUACCAGUGCCCUUUUUGCAUUUCAGAUGCUAGGUGAUGAGCUUGCAAAUGAUGGAGGGCAGGGAUCGACUGGCAUGCUCUUGAGGCUGCUUUAAAACCUCAUACAAAAAGUGCUCUUAUUCAAAGAUCAUGCGGGCAUUCUUGGUUUAAAAGUUUAAGCGUGAUUGAAAUUUCUAGAGCAAUACACAUCAUCAACGUGUGUAAUUUACCUUAUCCCAUUCAUUUCUUUGGUUUUAGAAUAUUUUUAGUAUGAGAUUCGAGGGUGAAGAUACUCCAAAGAAGGUCUACGGGUACCAUAAUUGAAAUUGAAGACCUGUCUCGCUGGUGGGAAGUUCUAUAUGGCACUCAUUGAAGUUGAAGCCGAAGGAGGCUAUAAGAAGGUAAUUUGGCUCGAUCAGCGUAAUCAGAAAUCUUCCAUCGAUCGUGGUUAUUCAUGGAUCCUAUGAAUAUCACUUUUCUGAACCACCUUGAUGUUUCAAAGGACAUCUACACUAUCAAAGUUCGUAUAAUCAAAUUGUGGAGGCAGCCUUCGUUUAAGGUCCCUGGGGAAUCGUAUGCAAUUGAGAUGAUCCUUAUGGAUGAGGAGGGAAAUAAAAUCCAAGCAACUAUAAUGAACAAGUACUUCAUUAAGUUUGAAAAGCUGCUAGAAGAGAAAGUUAUUCAUGCCAAGAAAGUGGUUAAUUGUUUGUUGAUUUCCAUAGCAUCAGUCAAUAAAGAAAUAAUCAAAAUUGGUUUGUAAAGUUGGGAAAGGAGACAAAAUUUUGUUGUGGUCCGAUAAGUGGGUUAAGGGAGGGGCUCUUAAGGACAUAUUUCCAGUGAUGUAUUUCAAAUGAACCUGCAGAUAUCUCUUAGUGGGAUGUAUUUCACCAGAUGCUUCGGUAGAGAUGCCAAGGAAGAAAAGGCAUGUGGUUUAUGUGAUCUUUCUCAUGACCACUUGGAGGAUUUCGAUUCUUUGAGAAGAUUUUUUUUAUUCUAGAAACAUAAUAACAAUGGUUGUGGAAGAUAUUAAUGAAAGCACUUAUUGGUAGUUGGUGAAAAGAUAGAUGUGGUUUAUUUGAUCUUUCUCAUGACCGCGAAAUUGUUCUCUUUUUCCUUUUUGUAUGGGGUUGUAUGGUUCCUUGGGGUUUUGUUCAGUUGUAGUCUUUAGUAGCUUCCUAAGGCUGUUGUUGUACUUCCUUUUUUUUUUUGUAAAUAAGAUGGUUUUGGUUGUUCCAAAAAAUUAUCAUUCCUCAAUGUCGUCAUGGAUGAGUUUGAGAAUGUUGAUGUGUUACAAAUUUAUUUGCCAUGGUCCGUUUCUCUACAACCAUCGGUUCCCCGCCUGCUCCCACUACUUUUUGACGAUCUCCUUCCACAAUCUACCAACGAGGAAAUGGCACCACACAAGUGGCUCAGAUUCAAGAGCGAGUAUUCACAAUGCGCGGAGCGAAUGGAAAUACUCAAGGCCUGAAAGGAAAAACCGCCAUGACAAGUCUGUUAUGACAUGUUAGACACUGUUGGAUAGAAGGAACGAUAUGACAACAUGGUGACGGGACUACUCCGUGUCUUUCUUGAGGCACCACUAUAAUCUGU